AUUGAACGCUGGCGGCAUGCCUUACACAUGCAAGUCGAACGGUAACGGGCCUUCGGGUGCCGACGAGUGGCGAACGGGUGAGUAAUGCAUCGGAACGUACCUUUCAGUGGGGGAUAACGUAGCGAAAGUUACGCUAAUACCGCAUAUUCUGUGAGCAGGAAAGCAGGGGAUCGCAAGACCUUGCGCUGAUUGAGCGGCCGAUGUCAGAUUAGCUAGUUGGUGAGGUAAAGGCUCACCAAGGCGACGAUCUGUAGCGGGUCUGAGAGGAUGAUCCGCCACACUGGAACUGAGACACGGUCCAGACUCCUACGGGAGGCAGCAGUGGGGAAUUUUGGACAAUGGGCGCAAGCCUGAUCCAGCAAUGCCGCGUGCAGGAUGAAGGCC
rnacentral:rRNA from 1 species